CUUCUGGAAUGUUGGAGGCAUAGUGCAUGGUGGUAUGAACAAAUUGGACGAUGAUAUGUUUCUGUCCGAGAUCAAAGCAUAUGAUAUUAUUCUCCUAGCGGAAACACACAUAGGGUAUAAUACCCCCCUCUCUAUAGAUGGUUAUAAAUACUACCCUGUUUGUCGACCCAUUUCUGGCAACGGUAGAUAUUUUGGAGGGUUAGCUAUAUUUAUCAAACAGGCCCUAAAGCCUCAUAUUUCUUUGCUAGUGAACUCACAAAAAGACUUUCAGUGGAUGAAAUUUGAUAAAUCUUAUUUUAACUUUAAUCAUGAUUUAUAUUUAUGCUUGGCAUAUGAUCCACCAGCCCAAUCCAUUUAUACUAAAAAUCUGUCCACUGAUAUACUUCAGCUGUUAGAAAAGGACAUAUUACAUUUUAAGUCUAA
rnacentral:lncRNA from 1 species